AGAUGUUCAAACCCAGUCCUAAAGACCCACAUCCGAAGCCACUUAAGAAAAACAGUGUGAUCGCUGGAGAGAGUAAGAAAAAGGGGAAUUGGAAGCUGCUGACCACUUCUUCCGUAUACUGGCUCUGGAGGACAUUCUCGGUUUGUCUGUUCUUUUCUCCAGCUGUCAGAACAGACAGUACUGCAUCUUCCUGCUUUACUGUCUCGCCCAGCCAACGAGCCAACGCUACCACAGGGCUCCAGACUAAAAUUUAACAGCUGUGGCACCAGUGCCAAUAAGUUCUACAGAUGGGGAUGCCAGGAGCAGAUAUGGUAGCAUUGGGGUUGGUUUG